rnacentral:piRNA from 1 species
UGCUACUGAUUGGCUCAAGUAGUAUGACC